rnacentral:rRNA from 1 species
GAUGAACGCUGGCGGCGCGCCUAACACAUGCAAGUCGAACGGUUAAAGCACCUUUUAGGUGUGUAUAAAGUGGCGAACGGCUGAGUAACACGUGGGCAACCUGCCCUCCUCUUGGGGAUAGCCUCGUGAAACCGAGGAUAAUACCCGAUACUUCAAUGUGGCCGCAUGACGACAUUGAGAAAGCUUUUGCGGAGAAGGAUGGGCCCGCGGCCUGUUAGCUUGUUGGUGGGGUAGAGGCCUACCAAGGCAAUGAUGGGUAGCGGGGUUGAGAGACCGACCAGCCAGAUUGGGACUGAGACACGGCCAAGACUCCUACGGGAGGCAGCAGUGGGGAAUCUUGCACAAUGGGCGAAAGCCUGAUGCAGCGACGCCGCGUGCGGGACGAAGGCCUUCGGGUUGUAAACCGCUUUCAGCAGGGACGAGGCGAUAAGUGACGGUACCUGCAGAAGAAGCCCCGGCUAACUACGUG